GUGAUGCAUUGUAACAAUUGACAAUUGCAUCUUUCAAGGAAAAUAGUUGGCUGUUGCGCUUUAUUAGGAAAGUUAACCUAAAAUUGAUUCUAAAUUUCAUGAUUCAAGCAUAAGUGAUUGUUAUCAAUUCAUAUCAAUCCGUAAAAGGUUCAUGUCUUUUAGAAUUCAAAUUUUUAUCAUCUCCAUCAAGCCGCCAUUGCAGUCCAAAUCAUGAAAAAUUCAAAUCACUCAACAAUAUUGGUUGAUACGAUAUGAAUAUAUAUCGACUUUGUUGAGAGAAUCAGAAAUUCGGGUAAGCAAGAUGAGUUAUGAAUGUUACAAAAGUGAUGAAAUUAUCAAUCUCAAAGCUGUCAUUUCAGUCAAGUUAGAGACAAAUGAGAUUAGGCAAAUCUUAGAAAUUAGACACAUGUAACUCAUCUCCAUUGAAAAUUAAAAACGACAUGGGUGUAAAACUAUAUUUGGUGGUGAAAAAACGAGCUUAAAUUUAUAAUAUAUCCUUUAUGUAUUGAUACAACAGAGAAGAUUGGUGCAGAGACACAUAACUUUGAUAAAGCGAUAUGAUAGAAAAAGGUUGUUUCAUCAUAUGAGUUUAUUAGUGCAUGAUCGAUAAUGACUCUCAACUUUUCCCUUCGUGUUGUUGCUGCCUUUAAGAAGCUUUCCUCCUUUAUCAGCAUUAACUAUAUACUUGAAUACUAAAUGUCAUAUUCGAAAUCUCUCUUCUUUUGCAAAAUAGAAGAACAUAACAUUGAUAUAGCAACUGAAUAAAUUUAAAUGUAUCAAUUUUUAUGUAUUUAUGUAUCAUGCCAAUAAAAUUGUGCGUGAUACAUACUAUUUAUAACUUUAACUUUAGGGUAAAAAGAUAUGACAAUGAAAUAUAUGAAAUUACAUGAAUUGUGCUCUGUA